CUGGGGAGCGGGAUGCAGGAGCGGGCGGUGCCCGAGAGUAGGCGGCGGGGACGGGGGCGCGGGCCCGCGCACGCCCCUGUCCUCUCCGGGCCGCGGCGGGCGGACGUGGGUGCAGCCCUGGGGGGCGGGACGGCCCGGGCGGCGGCGUCGCGCGGCAGCCCCGGGCUCUGCCGAUUCGGGCGGCCGCCCCUCGGGCGGGGACCGAAGCGCUGGCAUGGGACCGGAGUCCACGACGACGCGGGCCGCCAGACACGACAGGAGUUUGAGAGACAAGAGAGAUAGACCGGGACGCGCCGAGUGUGGUUUCUGCGGGGCGAGGCCGCUAGGGAAGAUCAGUUGUUCUCUGCUUAAGCUUAGGUAGUGGACCCCCGGGCAACCCCUGAGUCCUGGCUCCCUCCCUUCUCUACAUUUAUGGGUAAUGUGCGGAGGUCGUAACAAGGUUGAAAGGAGGCACAUGUCAUGCAUAGAGCAUGAACACCCAAUCAUCACGCUUAUGAAGCUGAGGAUCUUGACCAUCUUUUCAAUCUUGAGUGUUGAAUGGAAUUAUCCCUGGAUAUCUUGAUUCCCCCAAACAUUUUAUCAUUAUAUCAUUAUACAGUAGCCUUUCAAAGGAAUUGGAUUCUGGGAUGUAAAUAAAUGUAUUAAUAAUUUUUCUAGAAUUAAAAUUAAUGGAAGUUGUAAUAAAACCAUGUUCAUUUAUAUUUUAAAAAUUGUUUUUUGAUACCUGAACCUCGUAUCUGUUAGGUCCUUGAGGGUUUUUUGUUUCUGAGACAUUCUCUAUGCAAUGUAGGGGGCUUGACCUCACUUUGUAGCCCUGUCUGGCCUCAAACUUGCUGUGAUCCUCCUGCCUCAGCCUGCUGAGGGGUGUGAUUAUACACACGUCCCACUAUGCCGAGCUAGAUAAUUCUUUAAAAUGAUUUUUUUUUUUUACUAUAGUUGAAUUCACAUCCAACAGUUGUGUCACAAAAAUGAGUAACUUCUGAGUAAAAGCUUUAAGGUGUGCCUGCAGAAAUUGUUACUUGUAAUGUAUGGGCUUUGUGACAACUAUUUUAUCUCUCUGUGGUGGCCUUUGCUUCCUUUGGAUUGUACACUGUGUUCCAGGUAGAUGUCUUCUGAAUAAAUGAAGUGACACUGUGUAGUAUUUAGUGAACUUAGGUGGUUGGAACCGAUUUCAGGGGGUGGAGGAAUGCAGCUGGGGCCAUAGCUCUGGUAGAUACCUUGUCUACCGUCAACAAGAGCCUGAGAUGUUUUUUAUUUUUUCAGAAUGUCUUUUAAUAACAGUCAGAAUUUUUUGCCUUUCCGAUCGAGUAUCUCAUUUUAGGAAGAACUGAGAAGUUUUCUUUUUUUGAUUUUUUUCUGUUUGUUUGUUUUUUAUCUUUUUCCUUUUUAUCUGUACCAGGGAUCUAACUCAUGACUGCCUGCUUGCAAGGCAGGCGCUUAUGCUGCUGAGCUAAAUCCCCAGCCCCUGAAGAACUGAGAGUUUUAUAAGUUUUGUAGAUAAUUAUUAGUGGCCAGUAAGAACCAGGACCCAGUAGCUGAUAACUUUCAAUUCUGUGCCGUCCCAUUCAGCUACAUUCAUUCUACAGUUACUGGUAAUUGAGUGUAGAGUUGAGACAUGGGCAUCAACAACAGGAAAACUUGCUCCCUCCUCUCCACAGUCGAGAAGGAAACACACAUAUACUGAAAAUCAUUAUGAAAUUGCAGCCAUGAUAACUGAGCAAGGAGGCAUGCAGUACAAAGAAGGCAUCAGCUGCACUGCUGCCCCAAACCCCCAUAUGGUUUACUCCCUGUUUUCUUGGGACUGCCUGAAUGGCGCCUAAUGAGUCACUUCUCCAGACUACCCCAUCUACACUUGCAUUUUCUUCCCUUACCUAACCUGGUUUGAUUUUUUGUUUUGUUUUUUCCUUAUCAUUGGACAUUUAUUGGUUCACUUUUUUAAAAAUCAUUUUGGGUACCCACAGAAUGGAACCCCCAUGAAAUCAAGAGCUUUGAUUUAUUUUUUUAGUCGCUCUGACUUCACUAGCAAGAACAAUGUGUGACACUUAGACGUCUGUUCAGUUAUGAAUAAAUUAUGUAGGCAGAAUUCUCCUAGUCAGAGAUUUGGAAGAGUUCGCUGAGGGAGAGAUGAUGGAGCUGGGAGGUGAAGGAAAGUUGGAAUUAAGUUGGAGGAAGAUGGGAGGAGUGGAGCAAGAAUGCAAACUCAGUGAGCUCAAAUAGGCCACAACACCCAUUACAACUUUGAUUCAGUAAAUCUGUGGGGAAUGAGGAGAAACUGAGGUAGAAAAGACAAUAUGUGCAGAGGCCAUGCAGGUAAGAGCCAUCUGAGUCCCGGGAAAGUCAAGGUGGCUGGGCGGCUGGCUGGUGUGACAUGCAGAAAGGGAGGCAGGCAGGGCUGGAUCCUUUGGACCUGUUCUAAACUAAAGAGAACAAAGGAUAAGCUCGGUAUUUUCCUAACAGUUUAUGGUGCAUUUACUUGUAAAGCUGAAGUGUUUUGUUUGCGAUAAAGUGAAAUGUUUAUUUCUUUUUUCCCCUGUUAGCUGAAAAUAUAAUGAAUAACAUUAAGGACUAAAUAAACAAGGUCAGGAUUAUUGGACCUACAGCAGUGAUCCAGCUAAAAACCUAAUCUGCCAAGCUGCCACGUCUAUGGGUGUCCUUAAUUAUGACCAUUUUAGUUCUGAAAUGUGCACCCAUAGUAUUUGGCAGUGUUUAACCGAUUUUCUAUUAACUUUGGUGUGUAUAUAUUAGCUUUUGUCUUUACAAUUUUUAGAUCUUUUACAUUUUUUGAAUUUUAACUUUUUGCUUAGGCUUAACAGGCUGUAUCAUUUAAAAAGGAAAAAUAAUUAUCUUUAAGUUGAUAAUGUCUUAUAUCUGUCAUUGAUAAACUGUCUACUCAAGGAAGCUAUUUUUACUUACUAACUGCUUGAAAGCACUGUACAAUACUCUGCUGUGUAUAGCUUUAGAAACUAUAUUUCACCUGUAGAAUGCAUCUGUCUUCAAAUAGUGCAGUAAAAUAAUGACCCCCCCCAAGAGUUUUGCCUACCCCUUAUUGUAUAGAUUUGUAUUUAGGAAAUUAGUGGCAGAACCCCAGCUAUAGUUUGGCAAACUGUGAAAUCAUUAACCAUAGAUACUUUGAACUUUUUCCCCAUCUGUUUUUGGUUUUCUGUUUGUUUUAAAAUGGGAAUCUUGUCGCAUUGCCUUGUUGGACCUCAACUCUUGGUCUCCAGAGACCCUCUUGCUUUAGCCUCCCAAGUAGCUAGGGGUACAAGUACAUGACAAUGCACUUGUCAUAUGAUUGAGAGACGUUUUUCCAUAGGAUGAGUGUUCUAAAGUCCAGUAAAGAGAAUGUAGAUUUUUUUCUGUUAGUCAUUUUUGGAAACCAUAAUGGAGUGAAUAAUAACACUGAUACCUGGAAGGCCUUGAUCCCAUGGGCUGUGUGUGAUACUUAAUACAAAGGGAACAGUUGGGGAGGGGGGAUAUGCCAGCAGUAGGUAAGGCUCUGAAAACAGUAUGAGUUGAGUGUCCCUUACUGAAAACACAAUCAAAAUGUUUUCGAUUUUAGAUUUUUUUUUAAAUUUUGGAAUAUUUGCGUACAUCUAAUGGGAUGUGUUGAGGAUGGAACCUAAGUCUAAAUACAAAGUACAUUUGUGCUUCACAUAUAUGGCCUUAAGGUAAUUUUGUACAAAAUCUGUAAUAAUAAUUAUCUUCAGACUUUUUUACCGGGUAUCUUCAGACUUUUGAACAUAUAUUAUAGAUUUCAGUUUUCAGGUUAAGGAUGGUAUGCAGCCUGUAUGACAUUAUCAGUACUGACGAUGCCACAGAAGUUUUAUUCUUCUUAUGUGACUUCUAUUCUUGAAAGGCAUGUGUGGUUGUCCAUGUGUUUGUGUGUAUAGGGUGGGUUGUCUUGCUGAGGAUUGAACCCAGGGCCUAAGUUGCCUAGACUGACCUCUUGAACUUGUGAUCCUUGCACCUUAGCCCCUGACCAGGUAGGAUUACAAAUAUGUGCUUCUGUGCCUAGCGACAACUCACUUUUAAUACAUUUAGGUUGGGGAGGUUUUGUUUUGCUUCCAGCAUAACUAGUAAUGUUCAUAGUGCUAACACAUUAACAAAAGCAAUAUUCAUAUAGUUUAACAGCUGUUAUCACUUGGAUUUCUUAUUUGUU